UACGUAGGCGGAAAAUUAAGUCAGUAGUGAAAUCCUGCAGCUUAACUGUAGAACUGUUAUUGAUACUGGUUUUCUUGAAUAUAGCUGAGGUAGGCGGAAUGUGUAAUGUAGCGGUGAAAUGCUUAGAUAUUACACAGAACACCGAUUGCGAAGGCAGCUUACUAAACUAUGAUUGACGCUGAGGUACGAAAGCGUGGGGAGCGAACAGGAUUAGAUACCCUGGUAGUCC
rnacentral:rRNA from 1 species